rnacentral:rRNA from 1 species
AAAUUGAAGAGUUUGAUCAUGGCUCAGAUUGAACGCUGGCGGCAGGCCUAACACAUGCAAGUCGAACGGUAACAGGAAGCAGCUUGCUGCUUCGCUGACGAGUGGCGGACGGGUGAGUAAUGUCUGGGAAACUGCCUGAUGGAGGGGGAUAACUACUGGAAACGGUAGCUAAUACCGCAUAAUGUCGCAAGACCAAAGAGGGGGACCUUCGGGCCUCUUGCCAUCGGAUGUGCCCAGAUGGGAUUAGCUUGUUGGUGGGGUAACGGCUCACCAAGGCGACGAUCCCUAGCUGGUCUGAGAGGAUGACCAGCCACACUGGAACUGAGACACGGUCCAGACUCCUACGGGAGGCAGCAGUGGGGAAUAUUGCACAAUGGGCGCAAGCCUGAUGCAGCCAUGCCGCGUGUAUGAAGAAGGCC